AACGAACGCUGGCGGCAUGCCUAACACAUGCAAGUCGAACGAGACCUUCGGGUCUAGUGGCGCACGUGUGCGUAACGCGUGGGAACCUGCCCUUAGGUUCGGCAUAACUCCCCGAAAGGGGUGCUAAUACCGGAUAAUGUCUUCGGACCAAAGAUUUAUCGCCUUUGGAUGGGCCCGCGUUGGAUUAGCUAGUUGGUAGGGUAAAAGCCUACCAAGGCGACGAUCCAUAGCUGGUCUGCGAGGAUGAUCAGCCACACUGGGGCUGCGACACGGCCCAGACUCGGGAGGGGAGCAGCAGUAGGGAAAAUUAGACAAGGGGAAAAAGCCUGAUCCAGCAAUGCCGCGUGAGGAAUGAAGGCCUUAGGGUUGUAAGGCUCUUUUGCACGGGAUGAUAAUGACAGUACCGGGAGAAUAAGCUCCGGAUAACUCCGUG
rnacentral:rRNA from 1 species